rnacentral:rRNA from 1 species
GACGAACGCUGGCGGCGUGCCUAAUACAUGCAAGUCGAGCGGACAGAAGGGAGCUUGCCCCCGGAUGUUAGCGGCGGACGGGUGAGUAACACGUGGGUAACCUGCCUGUAAGACUGGGAUAACUCCGGGAAACCGGAGCUAAUACCGGAUAGUUCCUUGAACCGCAUGGUUCAAGGAUGAAAGACGGUUUCGGCUGUCACUUACAGAUGGACCCGCGGCGCAUUAGCUAGUUGGUGAGGUAACGGCUCACCAAGGCGACGAUGCGUAGCCGACCUGAGAGGGUGAUCGGCCACACUGGGACUGAGACACGGCCCAGACUCCUACGGGAGGCAGCAGUAGGGAAUCUUCCGCAAUGGACGAAAGUCUGACGGAGCAACGCCGCGUGAGUGAUGAAGGUUUUCGGAUCGUAAAGCUCUGUUGUUAGGGAAGAACAAGUGCAAGAGUAACUGCUUGCACCUUGACGGUACCUAACCAGAAAGCCACGGCUAACUACGUGCCAGCCGCCGCGGUAA